rnacentral:rRNA from 1 species
UAAUACGUAGGUGGCAAGCGUUGUCCGGAAUUAUUGGGCGUAAAGCGCGCGCAGGCGGUCUUUUAAGUCUGAUGUGAAAGCCCACGGCUCAACCGUGGAGGGUCAUUGGAAACUGGAAGACUUGAGUGCAGAAGAGGAGAGUGGAAUUCCACGUGUAGCGGUGAAAUGCGUAGAGAUGUGGAGGAACACCAGUGGCGAAGGCGACUCUCUGGUCUGUAACUGACGCUGAGGCGCGAAAGCGUGGGGAGCAAACAGGAUUAGAUACCCUGGUAGUCCACGCCGUAAACGAUGAGUGCUAAGUGUUAGAGGGUUUCCGCCCUUUAGUGCUGCAGCUAACGCAUUAAGCACUCCGCCUGGGGAGUACGACCGCAAGGUUGAA